CGCCGGUCAGCCGGGUUACGGGCAGCCGUACCCGUCGGCUGAUGGCGGCUACCCGUCGGCGCCGCCCGCCGUGCAGCCGAUGACCAUCGAC
rnacentral:tRNA from 1 species